GUGCUCGCUUCAGCAGCACAUACACUAAAACUGGAACAAUACAGAGAUUAGCAUGGCCCCUGUGCAAGGAUGACAGGCAAAUUCGUGAACCAUUCCAUAUUUAA